ACGUUAGCGGCGGACGGGUGAGUAACACGUGGCGUAACCUACCUAUAAGACUGGGACAACUUCCGGGAACACCGGAGCUAAUACCGGAUAAUAUGUUGAACCGCAUGGUUCAAUAGUGAAAGAUGGUUUUGCUAUCACUUAUAGAUGGACCCGCGCCGUAUUAGCUAGUUGGUGAGGUAACGGCUCACCAAGGCAACGAUACGUAGCCGACCUGAGAGGGUGAUCGGCCACACUGGAACUGAGACACGGUCCAGACUCCUACGGGAGGCAGCAGUAGGGAAUCUUCCGCAAUGGGCGAAAGCCUGACGGAGCAACGCCGCGUGAGUGAUGAAGGUCUUAGGAUCGUAAAACUCUGUUAUUAGGGAAGAACAAACGUGUAAGUAACUGUGCACGUCUUGACGGUACCUAAUCAGAAAGCCACGGCUAACUACGUGCCAGCAGCCGCGGUAGUACGUAGGUGGCAAGCGUUAUCCGGAAUUAUUGGGCGUAAAGCGCGCGUAGGCGGUUUUUUAAGUCUGAUGUGAAAGCCCACGGCUCAACCGUGGAGGGUCAUUGGAAACUGGAAAACUUGAGUGCAGAAGAGGAAAGUGGAAUUCCAUGUGUAGCGGUGAAAUGCGCAGAGAUAUGGAGGAACACCAGUGGCGAAGGCGACUUUCUGGUCUGUAACUGACGCUGAUGUGCGAAAGCGUGGGGAUCAAACAGGAUUAGAUACCCUGGUAGUCCACGCCGUAAACGAUGAGUGCUAAGUGUUAGGGGGUUUCCGCCCCUUAGUGCUGCAGCUAACGCAUUAAGCACUCCCCUG
rnacentral:rRNA from 1 species